AGGGGUGUGGCUCAACGGUAGAGUAGUGGUCUCCAAAACCAUUGGUUGCGUGUUCAAAUCGCGUCACCCCUGCCA
rnacentral:tRNA from 1 species